rnacentral:rRNA from 1 species
GCGAACGCUGGCGGCAGGCCUAACACAUGCAAGUCGAGCGGGCGUAGCAAUACGUCAGCGGCAGACGGGAGAGUAACACGUGGGAACGCGCCCUUCGGUUCGGAAUAACUCAGGGAAACUUGAGCUAAUACCGAAUACGCCCUAACGGGGAAAGAUUUAUCGCCGAAGGAACGGCCCGCGUCCGAUUAGCUAGUUGGUGCGGUAAUGGCUCACCAAGGCAACGAUCGGUAGCUGGUCUAAGAGGAUGAUCAGCCUCACUGGGACUGAGACACGGCCCAGACUCCUACGGGAGGCAGCAGUGGGGAAUAUUGGACAAUGGGCGCAAGCCUGAUCCAGCCAUGCCGCGUGGAUGAUGAAGGCCCUAGGGUUGUAAAGCUCUUUCGCGCACGACGAUGAUGACGGUAGUGCGAGAAGAAGCCUCGGCUAACUCCGU